rnacentral:misc_RNA from 1 species
GAUGAAGAACGUAGCGAAAUGCGAUAACUAGUGUGAAUUGCAGAAUUCCGUGAAUCAUCGAGUCUUUGAACGCACAUUGCGCCCCCUGGUAUUCCGGGGGGCAUGCCUGUCCGAGCGUCAUUGCUGCCCAUCAAGCACGGCUUGUGUGUUGGGUCGUCGUCCCCCCCCUCCGGGGGGGGACGGGCCCUAAAGGCAGCGGCGGCACCGCGUCCGAUCCUCGAGCGUAUGGGGCUUUGUCACCCGCUCUGUAGGCCCGGCCGGCGCUUGCCGAACGCAAAACAACCAUUCUUUCCAGGUUGACCUCGGAUCAGGUAGGGAUACCCGCUGAACUUAAGCAUAUCAAUAAGCGGAGGA